ensembl:lncRNA
AGCAGGUGGUGUGUCCUAGGUCUGACUCAGGAAGCAGGAGCACCAGGGAUCCCGGCUUUCGGUCAGCAUCUCAGCUAAGGCGAACACGGAGAGAUGGAGGUGGGAAAUUUGCCCUGCUCUCAGGUAGCAGGAGGCAAAGAGACAAUUGAGGUUGCUUUAAAAGGAUGCCAGUGAAAAUCCAAACAAGCCUGACUUAGUCUCUGGAACUAAGGAGAGCAGCAAGUGAGCAUGUGAGAGCUGAGGAAUCGCCCCGGACCCACCUCAGAGCUGUGGGUUCAUUCGGGGACCAGUGAUUUUUCAGGCCUAACUACAAGUAUGACUCUGAUCCAAAAUUAGGCUUUGGAUGUGUAACGCCAGGCUCCCUGCCCCACCCACCGCCUCUCUCUGCCCUCUGCCGUUUCUUCAGAGCCUGGCUUCCGGCCAGAGCUGGCCCUUCUGGCUCCUGGGGGAAGGGCUGGCCUGGGUGUUCUGUCUUGUUCUGUUUCCAGGCAGGGUUUUAGGAUGGGUGAAGGUGCGUGGGCUAUUCAGGAAGUAGAAGGGAAAUUGAUACGCUUGGGAAGGGCAUCCAAACCUCAAAUCACUCACUUCAUCCAGCCAAAGGUGGAGGAGACGGUGCAGGUAGGAGCAUGGCGGUGCCACCCUGGACUGCUCAUGAGGCUUCUGCCCACUGUGCCUGCCAGCCUGGGCUCCCGCCAGGUCUUCAGCAGUGAGAGCCGAGCCGGGCUGGGCCUGCUGCUCUGUCAUGUCCAACGGCAGCCAUGGAGGUGGGGAGCAGCUGGGAGUGUGCUGUUGAACAGGAGCUGCUCAUUUUACAGGCCGAUUUCCCAGGGUUGCUGGCCCUGGCAGGAGUGGUGCAGACGGCUGCAUCUUCGAGACCGCUUGUCCUCUCUGACCUUCAGCAGCCAGACCACAGGCAGCAGCGGGGCUGUCGUGUUGGGGUUCACCUUCGCAGCCUUCUUUGUCUCAUUGUUUUAAAACCUUAGUAGAACUUUGUUUGCAGAGUGGUACCAGGCACGGAGUACUUCCUUGGAAGGAAUUUUAAAGCAGCCUGGGUUGGCAAAGGGCAUGCGAAGAACCAAUCACGCUUGAAUGUGUGUGCACAGUGGGGAAGAAAACAAUACCACUUAAAGUGUUCUUUCGAUGUUCAACCCAACUUUCCCUUCGGAUUCUUGAGCCUGGAUACCCUUUAGAAGCACAUACAAAGCAAACUCCAGUCUUUGAGAGCAUCAAGACUCGGCUCUUUCAGCCCGGAUAUGACUGAUGCAGCUUGACAGGCUCCUCCACCUAGAGCAGCUGCGAAGUCCCAGGGACUGAGUAAUGUGAUUUGGGGCAGGUUUUUCUUCGGUGCCUUGCGAUGAGGAACCAGCUUAACAAGCAGUCAUGUCUGAGUUCUCACUUCACCGCAAACCUUGCUUGAGGACUUCAGAGCUUUAAAGGGCUCUGUUCCCAGAGGAGAAGCAGGAGAAGGCACCUAGAGCCCUGUUCUAUCAGUAAGUGGAGAACAAAAGAUGUACAAGAACAGGAAGGGAAAAUAGUCCUCAGAAUGAUCAAAGUGAGGUUGAGAGGGACAAGCGCCCGAUUUUGAAGACAGGAGACUUAUUUUUCUUACUCAGCCCCUAAUUAUCCAUGUGGACUUGACGAUCUAUUUACUUCUCCUGGCUUAAGUUUUCUCAUCUAUAAAAUGGGGGUGGUGCUACCAUCUCACUGCGAAUCUAUCGUGUGUGUGUGGUGAGAACAAGCACACUAAGAAUGUUAAAAGUAGUAGAAAUGCAUUUUGUAGUAGUGUGUGUGCUAAGUCGCUUCAGUCGUGUUGGACUCUUUGCAACCCCAUAGGCUGUAGCCUGCCAGGUUCCUCUGUCCAUGGGAUUCUCUGAGCAAAAAUACUGGAGGGAGUGUGUUGCCAUGCCCUCCUCCAGGGGAUCUUCACCCAGGAAUCGAACCUAUCUCUUAUGUCUCCUGCACUGGUAGGCAGGUUCCUUACCACUAGAACCGCCAGUAAACUAGUAUAAGUAUUAGCAGCCAGGGACUUUCCUGAUAGUCCAGUGGUUAAGACUCCACUUUCCCAACGCAGGGGGCCUGAGUUUGAUCCCUGGUCAGGCAACUAAAUCCUGCAUCCCAUAACUAUCACCC